UUAAUGUGAGAAUAACACGUAGGAUAGCUUAAGGAUUGAUGAUGUCAGUUUUGUCUUUAGUAAUAGUUAAUUGAUAUAGAAAUAAGAUCAUUUGAGAACCAAGGUGAAUAAUAGGAACUAGAAACUGAUAUGAGCCGUCCAUCGCAUUUCACCUAACGGUCUACACUUCUCCCGCUUCAUUAAGGGUAGAAAUGUAAUUUCUGCAAAUUGAAUGACUACCCAGAAUUUCCGCUACUUCUUUUUUUCACUUUCUCUCUCUUCUUGCCAACUCUCCAUCUGCAAUUUUUUUUUCUCCUGUUUUUCGCCAAAGUCCUUCAGUUUAUUCUUGGAUCUUUGUUGCUUGUUAUUUUUUAUCAAGUUAUUUAUCUGAUUUUUUUUUUCUUGUUCUUUUUAUUCAAUUAGGUUUUUCUUUUUAAUUUCGUUUAUUUCAAGUUUGAAAUUAGGGUUUUUGCGUUUCAGUUUGAUUAAUUGUGCUUUUGCGUUUUAUUAAUUAGAUAGUGAUUACGCAUUUUUUUUGUCUUGUUCAUAUUUUGUUUCAUUUUUUUUUAUUCAAAUAUGUGGUUGUUUUAUGGAUUUAAUGUGAUUGUUGAAUAAUUUGUACUUGUUUUUGAUGUUUAUCGAGAUGUAUUGGUUUUUUUGGAAAUAGUUUAAUGGUGAAUAUGAUGAUUAGAGUCUAGAUUUGGGUGUUUAAUUUUGGGUUUUGUGAUAGGUGAAUUACUAGAAGUUGGUGAACAUACUUAGCGUUUAAUUUUGGGUAUGUAUGUAUCUAGAUACUAAUUCGAUUAUAGUUGGUCUAAAUUUGAGAAUGGAGCUUAGAGUUGCUUUGUGGGGUGUGGGAUUUAGUAAUUUACAACCCACAAGAUUACCAUUUUCUUGCUGACAAACGUUGGUUAUCUAGCUCAAAGUUGUACAAAACAAGGUAGUCAAUUAAAGUUGGUUAGUGAAUUAUGAAGAUCAGUGAGGUGAUUAUUAAGUUUCCAUUGCUGCAUAUUUUCUUUGUUACAAACAUGUUUCCUGUCCUGCAUAGCUUUGUGAUAACUUUGUAGAUUAGGCAUAAUUUGAUUAGUGAUUCUUGUGUUUCGCAUAAUUUGCAUAAAUACAAACAUGUUUGAUAUACCUCUUAAGAUGACAAUUUAUUGGGUUUGCUGGCUCUAGUUGCUGUUUGGUUAGGAUUGAGCAUAGCAGGAAGUGUAAUUGUUGGAGUGGGAUAUGGAUUUUUCACUGCUUGGGUUUUAACUUUUGUGGCCUUCAAACAAGAGACCGAGUCCAAUAAAUAUUUGCACUGCAUUGUGCUCAAGAGGCAAAUGAAGAUAUUGAUGAAAAAGGUGGAGCCUCAAGACAUUGAUUUGGAAUAUGACUCAGGCUCAUGUCAAUGGCAUCGUUGGUACAAAUAUUUUACACUUUUAAGAUGUUAUACUUAUUGCAUCCUUUUUUAGUCUUAAACUGUACAUGCAGUAUGGUUGUUCACGAGGCAUCUUUGAAAUUGUACUCCGGCUUUCUUUGUUAAUGGUUUUCCUUUGCCUGACUUAAUAUUGGAUAGAGGAAGAUCAUUUUAAUCGUUUUUGUGUACCUUAUUCAUCCUCCAAGUCUGGGGUAGCUCACUAGUACUCUCCCAGAACCCUGAUUGUACAUGUAGUUUAUUUACUCUUAAGAUCUUUUGAUUUACUUGUAAGUAAUUAUUCUUUACUACUAAUGUUUAAUAUACUA